GACGAACGCUGGCGGCGUGCCUAAUACAUGCAAGUAGACCUGAGUUGCGAACGGGUGAGUAACGCGUAGGAACCUGCCUCAUAGCGGGGGAUAACUAUUGGAAACGAUAGCUAAUACCGCAUACUGUGAGAUGGACCUGCGGUGUAUUAGCUAGUUGGUGGGGUAAAGGCCUACCAAGGCGACGAUCCGUAACUGGUCUGAGAGGAGGGUCAGCCACACGGGAACUGAGACACGGUCCAGACUCCUACGGGAGGGAGCAGUGGGGAAGAUUGUACAAUGGGCGCAAGUCUGCGCCAGCCAGGCCGAGUGUGUGAAGAAGGUCUUCGGAUUGUAAAGCACUUUAAGUUGGGAGGCGUUACCAACAGAAUAAGCACCGGCUAACUACGUGCCAGCAGCCGCGGUAAUAC
rnacentral:rRNA from 1 species